CUGAGGCGUGAUGACGAGGCACUACGGUGCUGAAGCAACAAAUGCCCUGCUUCCAGGAAAAGCCUCUAAGCAUCAGGUAACAUCAAAUCGUACCCCAAACCGACACAGGUGGUCAGGUAGAGAAUACCAAGGCGCUUGAGAGAACUCGGGUGAAGGAACUAGGCAAAAUGGUGCCGUAACUUCGGGAGAAGGCACGCUGACACGUAGGUGAAGUGAUUUACUCAUGGAGCUGAAGUCAGUCGAAGAUACCAGCUGGCUGCAACUGUUUAUUAAAAACACAGCACUGUGCAAACACGAAAGUGGACGUAUACGGUGUGACGCCUGCCCGGUGCCGGAAGGUUAAUUGAUGGGGUCAGCGCAAGCGAAGCUCCUGAUCGAAGCCCCGGUAAACGGCGGCCGUAACUAUAACGGUCCUAAGGUAGCGAAAUUCCUUGUCGGGUAAGUUCCGACCUGCACGAAUGGCGUAAUGAUGGCCAGGCUGUCUCCACCCGAGACUCAGUGAAAUUGAACUCGCUGUGAAGAUGCAGUGUACCCGCGGCAAGACGGAAAGACCCCGUGAACCUUUACUAUAGCUUGACACUGAACAUUGAGCCUUGAUGUGUAGGAUAGGUGGGAGGCUUUGAAGUGUGGACGCCAGUCUGCAUGGAGCCGACCUUGAAAUACCACCCUUUAAUGUUUGAUGUUCUAACGUGGACCCGUGAUCCGGGUUGCGGACAGUGUCUGGUGGGUAGUUUGACUGGGGCGGUCUCCUCCUAAAGAGUAACGGAGGAGCACGAAGGUUGGCUAAUCCUGGUCGGACAUCAGGAGGUUAGUGCAAUGGCAUAAGCCAGCUUGACUGCGAGCGUGACGGCGCGAGCAGGUGCGAAAGCAGGUCAUAGUGAUCCGGUGGUUCUGAAUGGAAGGGCCAUCGCUCAACGGAUAAAAGGUACUCCGGGGAUAACAGGCUGAUACCGCCCAAGAGUUCAUAUCGACGGCGGUGUUUGGCACCUCGAUGUCGGCUCAUCACAUCCUGGGGCUGAAGUAGGUCCCAAGGGUAUGGCUGUUCGCCAUUUAAAGUGGUACGCGAGCUGGGUUUAGAACGUCGUGAGACAGUUCGGUCCCUAUCUGCCGUGGGCGCUGGAGAACUGAGGGGGGCUGCUCCUAGUACGAGAGGACCGGAGUGGACGCAUCACUGGUGUUCGGGUUGUCAUGCCAAUGGCACUGCCCGGUAGCUAAAUGCGGAAGAGAUAAGUGCUGAAAGCAUCUAAGCACGAAACUUGCCCCGAGAUGAGUUCUCCCUGAGACUUUAAGUCUCCUGAAGGAACGUUGAAGACGACGACGUUGAUAGGCCGGGUGUGUAAGCGCAGCGAUGCGUUGAGCUAACCGGUACUAAUGAACCGUGAGGCUUAACC
rnacentral:rRNA from 1 species